rnacentral:rRNA from 1 species
UCGAGAAUCUUCCGCAAUGGACGAAAGUCUGACGGAGCGACGCCGCGUGAUGGAUGAAGACCCUUCGGGUUGUAAACAUCUUUUAUGAGGGAGAAAGUUUAUUGAUAGUACCUCAAGAAUAAGGGGUUGCUAAACUCGUGCCAGCAGCAGCGGUAAUACGAGUGCCCCGAGCGUUAUCCGGAAUCAUUGGGCGUAAAGGGUGUGUAGGUGGUUGUGUUAGUCUUCUGCAAAAGCCCGGGGCUUAACCCCGGAACUGCGGAGGAAACGGCACGACUAGAGGAUGGCAGGGAUGUAUGGAACUCAUGGAGUAGGGGUGAAAUCCGUUGAUAUCAUGGGGAACACCAAAAGCGAAGGCAGUACAUUGGGCCACUCCUGACACUGAAACACGAAAGCGUGGGUAGCGAAUGGG